UAGCCGGCCUGAGAGGGUGUCCGGCCACACUGGGACUGAGAUACGGCCCAGACUCCUACGGGAGGCAGCAGUGGGGAAUAUUGCACAAUGGGCGCAAGCCUGAUGCAGCGACGCCGCGUGGGGGAUGACGGCCUUCGGGUUGUAAACCUCUUUCAAUAGGGACGAAGCGCAAGUGACGGUACCUGUAGAAGAAGCACCGGCCAACUACGUGCCAGCAGCCGCGGUAAUACGUAGGGUGCGAGCGUUGUCCGGAAUUACUGGGCGUAAAGAGCUCGUAGGUGGUUUGUCGCGUUGUCCGUGAAAUUUCACAACUCAAUUGUGAGCGUGCGGGCGAUACGGGCAGACUGGAGUACUGCAGGGG
rnacentral:rRNA from 1 species